rnacentral:rRNA from 1 species
UACGUAGGGGGCAAGCGUUGUCCGGAUUUAUUGGGCGUAAAGAGCGUGUAGGCGGCCGUACAGGUCAGCUGUGAAAACUCGAGGCUCAACCUCGAGACGUCGGUUGAAACCGUACGGCUAGAGUCCGGAAGAGGAGAGUGGAAUUCCCGGUGUAGCGGUGAAAUGCGCAGAUAUCGGGAAGAACACCCGUGGCGAAGGCGGCUCUCUGGGACGGUACUGACGCUGAGGCGCGAAAGCGUGGGGAGCGAACAGG